UCUACGGGAGGCAGCAGUAGGGAAUCUUCCGCAAUGGACGCAAGUCUGACGGAGCAACGCCGCGUGAGUGACGAAGGUUUUCGGAUCGUAAAACUCUGUUGUGAGGGAAGAACACGUACCAACUAACUAUUGGUACCUUGACGGUACCUCACCAGAAAGCCACGGCUAACUACGUGCCAGCAGCCGCGGUAAUACGUAGGCGGCAAGCGUUGUCCGGAAUUAUUGGGCGUAAAGCGCGCGCAGGCGGUUCCUUAAGUCUGAUGUGAAAGCCCACGGCUCAACCGUGGAGGGUCAUUGGAAACUGGGGAACUUGAGUGCAGAAGAGGAAAGUGGAAUUCCACGUGUAGCGGUGAAAUGCGUAGAGAUGUGGAGGAACACCAGUGGCGAAGGCGACUUUCUGGUCUGUAACUGACGCUGAGGCGCGAAAGCGUGGGGAGCAAACAGGAUUAGAUACCCUGGUAGUCCACGCCGUAAACGAUGAGUGCUAAGUGUUAGGGGGUUUCCGCCCCUUAGUGCUGCAGCUACGCAUAAGACACUCCGCCGUCGGGGAGGUACGGCCGGCGAAGGCGUGUUAAACGUUAACGUAAGUUAGUUAAGUUAGACGGCGNGAGACGCGACGACGGACGACGACGGAGGGAGGAGG
rnacentral:rRNA from 1 species